rnacentral:rRNA from 1 species
CAAUAGCGUAUAUUAAAGUUGUUGCAGUUAAAAAGCUCGUAGUUGGAUUUGUGGCGUACGGUGUGUUCCGGGCACUUGUUGUCUGAGUAACCUGCUGUUGCCAUCCUUGGGUGGAACCUGUGUGGCAUUAGGUUGUCGUGCAGGGGAUGCCCAUCAUUUACUGUGAAAAAAUUAGAGUGUUCAAAGCAGGCUUAUGCCGUUGAAUAUAUUAGCAUGGAAUAAUGAGGUAGGACUUUUUUGCUAUUUUGUUGGUUUGCGCAAAGAGGUAAUGAUUAAUAGGGACAGUUGGGGGUAUUCGUAUUCCAUUGUCAGAGGUGAAAUUCUUGGAUUUUUGGAAGACGAACUACUGCGAAAGCAUUUACCAAGGAUGUUUUCAUUAA